rnacentral:rRNA from 1 species
CCUACGGGUGGCAGCAGUGAGGAAUAUUGGUCAAUGGACGAGAGUCUGAACCAGCCAAGUCGCGUGAAGGAUGACUGCCCUGUGGAUUGUAAACUUCUUUUAUCUGGGAAUAAAAUGUUCCACGUGUGGGAUUUUGUAUGUACCCUAUGAAUAAGGAUCGGCUAACUCCGUGCCAGCAGCCGCGGUAAUACGGAGGAUCCGAGCGUUAUCCGGAUUUAUUGGGUUUAAAGGGAGCGUAGGUGGAUUGUUAAGUCAGUUGGGAAAGUUUGGGGCUCAACCGUAAAAUAGCAGUUGAAACUGGCAGUCUCGAGUACAGGAGAGGUGGGCGGAAUGCGUGGUGUAGCGGUGAAAUGCAUAGAUAUCGCGAAGAACUCCGAUUGCGAAGGCAGCACACUGGA